AAAACUUCGAGGACUCCAUUGAACCCAGGUCGUCGAUUUUUUGGAUGCAAAGCAUCAAAGGAAAAUGGUGCAUGUGGCUAUUUUAGAUGGAUUGAUCCGUCACUUGAAAAUGUUGAUGAAUCAUCCUUAAUGAAUAGAUUCAUAGAUGGUCAUAAUCCGAUUGAUCGACUAAAGAGAAAAGUGAAAGAGCUUGAAGAAGAAAGGGAUUCUUUGAAAUUUCAAUUGAAUGAAAAUGAAGAGAAGAUGAUGGUAUUGAACAAGAAGCUCAAGGAAGUUAAACUCCAAAGGGAUUGGGAAAAUGUCAAAUUUAACCGAGUUGUGAUUGUUUUUCUUUGUCUGCUAACUAUAAAAUGGUUCUUUAAUAUUGUGUAGUUCAAAAUUGUAGUACUUAAUUGUUUAGUUUUGCAGUAGUUAGGAGGCUAUUUCACGUAAUUAGUGUUGUACUUAAUUGGUCUGUUAAGUUCAUAUUUUAUAUCAAAUUGGAAGUUUGAAUGUGAA